CUGCUGACUCCAUUGCAAUGUCCCAUGCAAUAUCUCUUUCCGCUGAUAUAUGGGUCAUGAGGGUCAUUUUUGAAACGGACUCGCAACUCCAGAUGGAAGCACUGAAUAUCAAUAAGGUGGACUCGUCGGCCUAUGCUGCUGUUAUUGAGGAUACCAAGUACCAGCUCAAAUUAUGGUUUUCUUAUUAUGAAAUAAAUGUAUGUCGUCGCUCGGCAAACUCUGUUGCUCACGAGCUUGCUAGCCUUGAUAGGAUGUACGAACCUAACCACUAUGUGGAAUGGGAGGCCGAUGUACCAGCCCUUAUGGCUGCAUGUGCUUUGGGUGAUUCAGCCCAGCAUCGUUAAGUUAUAAAGUAAUGUUUUUUCUCAAAAGAGAAGCUUUUAGUAGAUGUACUUGUGCUUAUGCUUUACACAUUUACACUUGUAUAAUUGUUCUGAUCCCUCGAUUACAUGCUUGCUGACAUAGUAUUAGUCCAGUUAGUUUGGCGAUAGUUCUUUUUAACAAUGGGGCUGGAAUAAUUGUAUGGCAUAUGUUAUGUUCGACUCAUUAACUGGAACUUUUUUUAUUUCUUGAUUGCAGGAUCCAAAGAACUAGUUGGACUGGACUCUAGAUCACGGACAUUCUAGUCUUCGCAGUUAAUUAGGAUGGCGAAAUUACAUUUGAGUUUCAUUUGAUGGAUAUUUGCUAUGAGAAUUAUGAAUUUUAUGAAUUUACAUAUUAUACGUAUGGUUUUGAAUAUUGUAAUUGAAAGCCUGUAUUUUUUUUACGGUUGCAAUAGGCUAUUACCACAACCCACUUUCGGUUGCCACAUGCUAGCACCUCUGCAAAUAUAUUGUUGCGUCAUAUCUCUGUUGCUACGCCUACCUAUUUUGUUGCACUAGGAUGUUGCAACGGAGCACUUUAUAUUGUCGCAAUAGCUUGUCACCACAAUUUUUUUCACGACGCGAUAACUGUUUCGCCACCAAAGCAAGUUUUGUUGAAAUAGAGUAUCGCCACGGAAAGUUUAAAUUGUCGCAAUAAUUUCUUGCUACAAAUAUUUUACUUGUUGUGAUACCUAUUUAUCACCACCAAAACAAGUAUGUUGCAAUUU
rnacentral:lncRNA from 1 species